UACGAAGGGGGCUAGCGUUGUUCGGAAUCACUGGGCGUAAAGCGCACGUAGGCGGACUGUUAAGUCAGGGGUGAAAUCCUGGGGCUCAACCCCAGAACUGCCCUUGAUACUGGCGGUCUUGAGUGUGGGAGAGGUUGGUGGAACUCCGAGUGUAGAGGUGAAAUUCGUAGAUAUUCGGAAGAACACCAGUGGCGAAGGCGGCCAACUGGCCCAUUACUGACGCUGAGGUGCGAAAGCGUGGGGAGCAAAC
rnacentral:rRNA from 1 species